UCCCUGGUGGUUCAGUGAUAAAGAAUCUGCCUGCAAAGCAGGAGCUGUAGUGGCCCCAGGUUCCAUCCCUGGGUCGGGGAA
rnacentral:tRNA from 1 species